rnacentral:rRNA from 1 species
GAGUUUGAUCAUGGCUCAGAUUGAACGCUGGCGGCAGGCCUAACACAUGCAAGUCGAACGAGAAAGCACUUCGGUGUGAGUAGAGCGGCGGACGGGUGAGUAACGCGUAGGAAUUUGCCCAGUAGUGGGGGACAACAUGUGGAAACGCAUGCUAAUACCGCAUACGCCCUAAGGGGGAAAGCAGGGGAUCUUCGGACCUUGCGCUAUUGGAGAAGCCUGCGUCGGAUUAGCUAGUUGGUGGGGUAAAGGCCCACCAAGGCGACGAUCCGUAGCUGGUCUGAGAGGAUGAUCAGCCACACUGGGACUGAGACACGGCCCAGACUCCUACGGGAGGCAGCAGUGGGGAAUAUUGGACAAUGGGCGAAAGCCUGAUCCAGCAAUACCGCGUGUGUGAAGAAGGCCUUAGGGUUGUAAAGCACUUUCAGUAGGGAGGAAGGGUUAUUGGUUAAUACCUAAUAAUUUUGACGUUACCUACAGAAGAAGCACCGGCUAACUCCGUGCCAGCAGCCGCGGUAAUACGGAGGGUGCGAGCGUUAAUCGGAAUUACUGGGCGUAAAGCGUACGCAGGCGGUUUGUUAAGCAAGAUGUGAAAGCCCCGGGCUCAACCUGGGAACUGCAUUUUGAACUGGCAGACUAGAGUACGGUAGAGGGGGGUAGAAUUUCAGGUGUAGCGGUGAAAUGCGUAGAGAUCUGAAGGAAUACCAGUGGCGAAGGCGGCCCCCUGGACUGAUACUGACACUGAAGUGCGAAAGCGUGGGGAGCAAACAGGAUUAGAUACCCUGGUAGUCCACGCCGUAAACGAUGUCUACUAGCCGUUGGGCAGCUUGACUGUUUAGUGGCGCAGCUAACGCGAUAAGUAGACCGCCUGGGGAGUACGGCCGCAAGGUUAAAACUCAAAUGAAUUGACGGGGGCCCGCACAAGCGGUGGAGCAUGUGGUUUAAUUCGAUGCAACGCGAAGAACCUUACCAGGUCUUGACAUCCUACGAACUUACUAGAGAUAGUUUGGUGCCUUCGGGAACGUAGUGACAGGUGCUGCAUGGCUGUCGUCAGCUCGUGUUGUGAAAUGUUCGGUUAAGUCCGGCAACGAGCGCAACCCACAUCUUUAGUUGCCAGCAGGUUAAGCUGGGCACUCUAGGGAAACUGCCCGUGAUAAGCGGGAGGAAGGUGUGGAUGACGUCAAGUCCUCAUGGCCCUUACGGGUUGGGCUACACACGUGCUACAAUGGCAGUGACAAUGGGAUAAUCCCAAGUGACAAUGGGUUAAUCCCAAAAAAACUGUCUCAGUUCGGAUUGGGGUCUGCAACUCGACUCCAUGAAGUCGGAAUCGCUAGUAAUCGUGUAUCAGCAUGUCACGGUGAAUACGUUCCCGGGCCUUGUACACACCGCCCGUCACACCAUGGGAGUUGAUUGGACCAGAAGUAGAUAGUCUAACCUUAGGGAGGGCGUUUACCACGGUGUGCUUCAUGACGGGGGUGAAGUCGUAACAAGGUAACC